CUUAGACGCUGACUCCAGAGGAUAUGCUGAAAAGCCAACCUGCAUUAUACAGUAACAGCUGGCAACAGACUUGACUCCCUUUCAAAGAACAACCAGUAUGAAGAGAGCCGGAGAAAUAAGCAGAACCAGUCGGCCUCGUCACCCGCUUCCCGUAUCCCUUAAGCUCUGAACACUGACCUUGGGAAUGCCACGCUUCUGAGCAUCCACAAUCCUUAAGCCAAGCAUGCCUCGCUCCCAGAUUUUGGUGUUCUGAGAGAGGUUCAUCAAGAAGAUCAUACGUGGAGGAAGGGAGCA